rnacentral:ncRNA from 1 species
UAUAAAGCAGUGCAGAAGAGAAAGAUACCUAAGUUUGUCUUAGAGAGUCGGAAAAGGUGAAAGCCGACACAAAAAUAAGUAUGUAAUAUUCACUUCUAAGCUUGGCAGUUCAAAUUUAAGUAGAUUGCCACGGAUUCUACCGUUAACUUUAGAUAGGAAUUGAUGGAUUCUAAAAUUAUUUGAAUACACGAUUUCAAUGAGUAUUUAAUUAGGUGGUACCGCGAACCUUCGCCCUAUGU